GUUGGCUUAGAAGCAGCUAUUCAUUCAAAGAGUGCGUAAUAGCUCACUAGUCGAGUGACCCUGCGCCGAAAAUGUACCGGGGCUAAAACAAUUUACCGAAGCUGUGGAUACCUUUAUAGGUAUGGUAGGAGAGCGUUNUAUGUGUGGCGAAGGUGUACCGUGAGGAGCACUGGAACGCAUAGAAGUGAGAAUGNCGGUAUGAGUAGCGCAAGAUGGGUGAGAAUCCCAUCCACCGUAAGACUAAGGUUUCCAGAGGAAGGCUCGUCCGCCCUGGGUUAGUCGGGACCUAAGGAGAGACCGAAAGGUGUAUCCGAUGGCCAACAGGUAGAGAUUCCUGUACUAGAGUAUAGAGUGAAGGAGGGACGCAGAAGGCUAACUCAAGCGUGCGAAUGGAAGAGCACGUCUAAGCAGUGAGGCGUGGUAUGAGUCAAAUGCUUAUAUCUGUAACGUUGAGCUGUGAUGGGGAGCGAAGUUUAGUAGCGAAGUGAGUGAUGUCACCCUGCCAAGAAAAGCUUCUAGCAUUAAUCUAUAUUCUACCCGUACCGCAAACCGACACAGGUAGUCGAGGCGAGUAGCCUCAGGUGAGCGAGAGAACUCUCGUUAAGGAACUCGGCAAAAUG
rnacentral:rRNA from 1 species